UUUAGUGGCGGACGGGUGAGUAACGCGUGAGAAUCUAGCUUCAGGUCGGGGAUAACUACUGGAAACGGUGGCUAAUACCGGAUGUGCCGAAAGGUGAAAGGCUUGCUGCCUGAAGAUGAGCUCGCGUCUGAUUAGCUAGUUGGUGUGGUAAGAGCGCACCAAGGCGACGAUCAGUAGCUGGUCUGAGAGGAUGAUCAGCCACACUGGGACUGAGACACGGCCCAGACUCCUACGGGGAGGCAGCAGUGGGGAAUUUUCCGCAAUGGGCGAAAGCCUGACGGAGCAAUACCGCGUGAGGGAGGAAGGCUCUUGGGUUGUAAACCUCUUUUCUCAAGGAAGAAAAAAUGACGGUACUUGAGGAAUAAGCAUCGGCUAACUCCGUGCCAGCAGCCGCGGUAAUACGGAGGAUGCAAGCGUUAUCCGGAAUGAUUGGGCGUAAAGCGUCCGCAGGUGGCGAUGUAAGUCUGCUGUUAAAGAGUCUAGCUUAACUAGAUAAAAGCAGUGGAAACUACAUAGCUAGAGUGCGUUCGGGGUAGAGGGAAUUCCUGGUGUAGCGGUGAAAUGCGUAGAGAUCAGGAAGAACACCGGUGGCGAAGGCGCUCUACUAGGCCGCAACUGACACUGAGGGACGAAAGCUAGGGGAGCGAAUGGGAUUAGAUACCCCAGUAGUCCUAGCCGUAAACGAUGGAUACUAGGCGUUGCGA
rnacentral:rRNA from 1 species